rnacentral:rRNA from 1 species
GACGAACGCUGCGGCGUGCUUAACACCUGCAAGUCGAACGGAAAGGCCCUGCUUUUGUGGGGUGCUCGAGUGGCGAACGGGUGAGUAACACGUGAGUAACCUGCCCUUGACUUUGGGAUAACUUCAGGAAACUGGGGCUAAUACCGGAUAGGAGCUCCUGCUGCAUGGUGGGGGUUGGAAAGUUCCGGCGGUUGGGGAUGGACUCGCGGCUUAUCAGCUUGUUGGUGGGGUAGUGGCUUACCAAGGCUUUGACGGGUAGCCGGCCUGAGAGGGUGACCGGCCACAUUGGGACUGAGAUACGGCCCAGACUCCUACGGGAGGCAGCAGUGGGGAAUAUUGCACAAUGGGCGGAAGCCUGAUGCAGCAACGCCGCGUGCGGGAUGACGGCCUUCGGGUUGUAAACCGCUUUCGCCUGUGACGAAGCGUGAGUGACGGUAAUGGGUAAAGAAGCACCGGCUAACUACGUG